UUAGUGACUCAUUUUAGUGAAUAGAUUACGGCAGGCAUUGCAAGAUGUCACUUCCUAGUGGCUUCGGUCUUGGUGUACUCCCUCCCUCACUCUGUCUUGUCACUCAUUCUGGGGAGAGCCAGCUGCCAUGUCACGUGAACACUGUUAAGCGGCCAGUGUGGUGAAGAACUGAGUGCUGCCAACACCAUGCCCUGAGUUCAGGAGUGGAUUGUCCCUUGACUGACAGUGUGACUGCAUCCUCAUGAGGAACCUAGAGCCAGAACCAGACAGCUAAGCUGCUCCUGGAUUCCUGACCCCCAGAAAUGGUGGAGAUAAUGAAUGCUUAUUGCUGCAAGCUGCAGAGUUUUGAGGUUGGAGUGCAAUGGCACUAUCUCAGCUCACCGUGACCUCCACUUCCCAAGUUCAAGCGAUUCUCCUGCCUCAGCCUCUGGAGUAGCUGGGAUUAUAGUCAUGACCCACUGCGCCUGGCUAAUUUUUUGUAUUUUUAGUAAAGACGGGGUUUCUCCACGUUGGUCAGGCUAGUCUCAAACUCACGACCUCAGGUGAUCCGCCCACCUCAGCCUCCCAAAGUGCUGGGAUUACAGGCGUGAGCCACUUCGCCCGGCCUAGACAAUGCGUUUGACUCCAAGAGAGCCUCAAGCCACUACAAGAAUGCCAAGUAACCACUGAAUUCUGUCAGCCUUAGAGCUAGGGUCUUCUUGUUUCUAUAGAUGGCACAGCAACAGCAAACACAAAUCUACCUGCAGAGGAGGAAUCCUGCGUUUUCCUAUUGUAUAUACAGAGAUCUCUAGAAGAACCCACAAGGAGCUGGUAACAGUGGUUACCUCUGGGGAGGCAACCAGGUGACUGGGCAAAGGGGUGUGAGAGAGACUUAAUUUUCACCUUACAUGCUUCUGCUUUUUAAAUUCUGAACCAUGUAUCUAUAUUAUCCAUCCACAAAUAAAAUAAAAUAAAAUAAAAUAUACCCCCAGUGAAAGAAAAUAAAUUUUAAACCACAGGCAAUAAGAACUAACAUACACACACACUCACAUACACACAUAUAAAUAUAUACAGACAGUCCCUGAUUUAAGAUGGUUCAAUUUACAAUUUUCUAAUGUUAUGAUUGGUACCCAUAUAACUAUUCUGUUUUGACUUUCAGUACAGUAUUCACUAACUUACAUGAGACGUUCAAUACUUUAUUAUAAAAUAAGCUUUGUGUUAGAUGAUUUUGCCCAACAGUAGGCUAAUGUAAAUGUUCUGAGCUUGCUUAAGGUAAGCUAGACUAAGCUAUGAUAUUCGGUAUAUUAGGUGUAUUAACUGCACUUUUGACUUAAAGUAUUUUCAAUUUGUGACAGGUUUAUCAGAAGUAACCCCAGUGUACGUUGAGGAGCAUCUGUAUUUGGUGUACUGAAUAUAAUAUGUAUUGAAAUAUACACUAUGUAUCCAACACAGUAGAUAAUUAAAAGUCUAUUUAUAGGCAAAUGAUUAAAAAAAUUGGUGUUGAGACUCAAUGAAAUAUUAUGCAACAGUGACAAUAAAUGGGGUAGAUACACUUGUACACAGAAAAAUCACCACACCUGCAGUUAAGGGAGCUAUGAAGAUUGUCUAGCAAUAUAUUAUCAUAAAUGACAAGCAAUUCUUCACACAAAACAAAGCUAUGCCUAGCUAUAUACAGUUGUACAUGUGUAAAUGGGGUCCAGAAGUUCUGGAAAGAUUCACAUCAAAAUAAUAGCAGUUACCUUUACAGAGGGUAUUAGGAUUAAGAUGAGCUUUGAUUAUGCAUUUUGAGAAUAUAUAUCCAUGUCUUACUUAUAUUAUAGAAAUAAAUAAAUGUUUAAAAAAUAAUAAAUCUUUGCAUUUGUGUUUAAAAAUUUUGUUCAACAAAUGUUCAUUUGUUGUUGUUCAUGGUAUAAGUAUUGGAGACAACUUAAACCGUCAUCAGUGAAAGAGUGGCUAAAUAGACUAUGCCAUAUCU
rnacentral:lncRNA from 1 species